CUGAGAGGAUGACCAGCCACACUGGAACUGAGACACGGUCCAGACUCCUACGGGAGGCAGCAGUGGGGAAUAUUGCACAAUGGGCGCAAGCCUGAUGCAGCCAUGCCGCGUGUAUGAAGAAGGCCUUCGGGUUGUAAAGUACUUUCAGCGGGGAGGAAGGGAGUAAAGUUAAUACCUUUGCUCAUUGACGUUACCCGCAGAAGAAGCACCGGCUAACUCCGUGCCAGCAGCCGCGGUAAUACGGAGGGUGCAAGCGUUAAUCGGAAUUACUGGGCGUAAAGCGCACGCAGGCGGUUUGUUAAGUCAGAUGUGAAAUCCCCGGGCUCAACCUGGGAACUGCAUCUGAUACUGGCAAGCUUGAGUCUCGUAGAGGGGGGUAGAAUUCCAGGUGUAGCGGUGAAAUGCGUAGAGAUCUGGAGGAAUACCGGUGGCGAAGGCGGCCCCCUGGACGAAGACUGACGCUCAGGUGCGAAAGCGUGGGGAGCAAACAGGAUUAGAUAC
rnacentral:rRNA from 1 species